rnacentral:rRNA from 1 species
AAUAGAUACCCCGGUAGUCCACGCCGUAAACGAUGAGUGCUAGGUGUCGGGGGUUUCGAUACCCGCGGUGCCGAAGUUAACACAUUAAGCACUCCGCCUGGGGAGUACGGUCGCAAGACUGAAACUCAAAGGAAUUGACGGGGACCCGCACAAGCAGUGGAGUAUGUGGUUUAAUUCGAAGCAACGCGAAGAACCUUACCAGGUCUUGACAUCCCCCUGACCGGUCUAGAGAUAGGCCUUCCCUUCGGGGCAGGGGAGACAGGUGGUGCAUGGUUGUCGUCAGCUCGUGUCGUGAGAUGUUGGGUUAAGUCCCGCAACGAGCGCAACCCUUGAUCUUAGUUGCCAGCACUUCGGGUGGGCACUUUAAGAUGACUGCCGGUGACAAACCGGAGGAAGGCGGGGAUGACGUCAAAUCAUCAUGCCCCUUAUGACCUGGGCUACACACGUACUACAAUGGCCGGUACAAAGGGCUGCGAAACCGCGAGGUGGAGCCAAUCCCAGCAAAGCCGGUCUCAGUUCGGAUUGCAGGCUGCAACUCGCCUGC